AGAGCGCAAGGGGAAUGCCUUGGCAUCAGGAGCCGACGAAGGACGCGACAAGCUGCGAUAAGCUUCGGGUAGCUGCAAAUAAGCGAUGAUCCGGAGAUUUCCGAAUGGGGCAACCCGGCACGGCAAUACCGUGUCAGCGUGCACUGAACAAAAUAGGUGUACGCGGGGAACCGCCUGAACUGAAACAUCUAAGUAGGGCGAGGAAAAGACAUCAACCGAGAUUCCGUAAGUAGUGGCGAGCGAACGCGGAAGAGGCCAAACCAGAAGACAUUGUUUUCUGGGGUUCGGACCAGCAUCGUGAUCAGAGAGAUCUAGUCGAAUGGCGUGGGAAAGCCAAUCAUAGAGGGUGAGAAUCCCGUAGACGAAAGAGAAGACUGACAGCUGGUAUCCAGAGUACCGCCGGACACGUGAAACCCGGUGGGAAGACGGGUGGACCACCAUCCAAGCCUAAAUACUACCUGAUGACCGAUAGAGAAGCAGUACCGUGAGGGAAAGGUGAAAAGCACCCCGGGAGGGGAGUGAAAGAGUACCUGAAACCUUGUGCUUACAAGCAGUCAGAGCACGUUAAAGUGUGAUGGCGUACCUUUUGUAGAAUGGUCCGGCGAGUUAUAGUCACUGGCAAGGUUAAGCGAUUCAGUCGCGGAGCCGAAGGGAAACCGAGUGUUAAUAGCGCGAGUAAAGUCAGUGGCCAUAGACCUGAAACCGGGUGACCUAUCCAUGAGCAGGCUGAAGUUGCGGUAAAACGCAAUGGAGGGCCGAACCCACGUACGUUGCAAUGUCCGGGGAUGACUUGUGGAUAGCGGAGAAAUUCCAAUCGAACUCGGAGAUAGCUGGUUCUCCCCGAAAUAGCUUUAGGGCUAGCGUUAUGUUAGAUUACCGGAGGUAAAGCACUGAAUGGUGGCGGGGCCGAUAAGGUUACCAAGACCUAUCAAACUCUGAAUGCCGGAUAAUUGAUGCAUAGCAGUCAGACAGCGUGAGAUAAGUUUCGUUGUCAAAAGGGAAACAGCCCAGACCCACAGCUAAGGUCCCAAAUUCAUGCUAAGUGGAAAACGAUGUGGAAUUGCGAAAACAACCAGGAUGUUGGCUUAGAAGCAGCCACUCAUUAAAAGAGUGCGUAAUAGCUCACUGGUCGAGUGACUCUGCGCCGAAAAUUUAACGGGGCUAAACUAUACACCGAAGCUUGGGAUACAUCUAAUGUAUGGUAGGAGAGCGUUCUGUAUGGGGCGAAGUCGUAGCGAAAGCGGCGGUGGACUAUACAGAAGUGAGAAUGCCGGAAUAAGUAGCGAGAAUUAAGUGAGAAUCUUAAUGGCCGAAAGUCUAAGGUUUUUGGAGGAAGGUUCGUCCGCUCCAAGUAAGUCGGGAGCUAAGGUCAGGCCGAAAGGCGUAGCCGAUGCACAUACGGUUGAUAUUCCGUAACCAUCUGUAAUUUAAGCAAAGGGACACUUCAAAAGGGUGUGACCCGGGCGUUGGUUGACCCGGGCGUAAGGGACCGAAAUUAGAGUAGGGAAGCACACUUGGCUGAAGGCGAGAAAAGCUUUGCGUAUAGAAGCAGAUGCCCGUACCGCAAACCGACACAGGUGGACAGGAAGAGAAUUCUAAGGCCAGCGGGAGAAGGGUAGUUAAGGAACUCGGCAAAUUGACUCCGUAACUUCGGAAUAAGGAGUGCUCGAAAGAGCCGCAGAGAAUAGGCCCAGGCGACUGUUUAGCAAAAACACAGGUCUCUGCCAAAUCGAAAGAUGAAGUAUAGGGGCUGACACCUGCCCGGUGCCGGAAGGUUAAGAGGAGGAGUGAGAGCUCCGAAUUGAAGCCCCGGUAAACGGCGGCCGUAACUAUAACGGUCCUAAGGUAGCGAAAUUCCUUGUCGGGUAAGUUCCGACCCGCACGAAUGGCGUAACGACUUGUGAGCUGUCUCAACAGGAGGCCCGGUGAAAUUGAAGUAUGUGUGAAGAUGCACAUUACCCGCGACUGGACGGAAAGACCCCGUAGAGCUUUACUGUAACCUGACAUUGGAUCUUGAUAACGGAUGCACAGGAUAGGUGGGACGCUGGGAGACGAGGACUUUGGUUUUCGUGGAGCGGCCGUUGGGAUACCACUCUUCUGUUAUUGAGAUUCUAACCUCAAGCCGUGAGCCGGAUGAGAGACAGUGUCAGGCGGACAGUUUGACUGGGGCGGUCGCCUCCGAAAGAGUAACGGAGGCGCCCAAAGGUACCCUCAGAAUGGAUGGAAACCAUUCGAAGAGAGCAAAGUCAGAAGGGUGCUUGACUGCGAGACCAACAAGUCGAGCAGGUACGAAAGUAGGGCUUAGUGAUCCGGCGGUAAGAGAGUGGAAUUGCCGUCGCUCAACGGAUAAAAGCUACCUCGGGGAUAACAGGCUGAUCUCCCCCAAGAGUUCACAUCGACGGGGAGGUUUGGCA
rnacentral:rRNA from 1 species